ensembl:lncRNA
GUAAAUGUGCUAAUUAUUAUUAGCUUUGCUGUGGAGGACAGAGCUAUACUGUGGAGGACAGAGCUGUAUACAGGCAAAGUGCUCACAAUCUUUCGAUGAGAUAAUCAGUCUGUGUCACAGCUAGUAGAUUAGGUCCACAGAACUGCUUAGUGCCUAUUUAUCUACCCAUUCUUCACCCUUUAUGUGAAGCCAUCAAAAACUCACAGUGAAUGACACAUAAGCAUGAUCACCUAGAGAGAGCAUACCAUCACUCCAUUCUUCAGCUUCCCAUUGCCUCUGUGGUGUGUUGCUAGCGGAGCCAUCCAUACAGUGAAACAGAAUGAUAAGUGUAUUUAUUUUUAUCCAUGACACAUGCACUUUAUUACUGUCAUGAAGCGUUUGGAAUAGUAUUCGUACCACCAUUUGUAGUUCUCAGCCUCCAUGUGGCCAUCUGCUUGUGAGAGACAAGAUUGAUGAUCAUAACAACAGUGAGUUUCUUGUAACGCAAUAAUCAGCAAUAGUACAGACAUGCUUUCAUGCUGAAUUAGCAUUGCAGAUUCAGCUAUUCACUUGGUACAGUGUGGUCCAUGCUAUGUUGCUAUGUAAGGAUUACAGAAUUGUGCUGUCACCGAAAAUGGCCACAAUGUAAACUGUACAUUUUAACAGCAUUUUUCAACCUGGUGACAAACUAAAUGUUUUGGACCUACUGUAUCUGGUCAAAGCCCAGGAGUUGACUAGCACCGCAUAUUCAUGUCUGCAGCUCUGGAUUUAAACCCCGUGGCACAAUAUAAGAGCUAUCAAUGUGAGUUAUGUGCCCUGAGCUCACGCAUUAUCAAGAUUCAUUGAUUGCUGCUUUCAGAAAUACAAAACGUACACUGCUUUGGCAAACAAGACAUCGUGGCACAGAGCAUGGUUCUCGGAGGACAGCCCUUCAGCCGUGCUCUCCAUUAGCUGGAGCACUGAGUGGAACUGAUCAAUGACUCUGAUCAGCAGCCAUGACAGGUGUGUGUGUCGCCACAAGAUAGGAAGGAUGGUGCGAGAGACAUGCCAUCAUCAUCACUCAGUUUGCCUCCAGCAACAACACUUUUCUUUGUUACUCUACCGGAGCAGAUGAUGCUAAACAUAUGCAAUGUCACUUUGCUUUGUGAUUACAGCAUGAGUAAUGGAGGAAGGACAUUUAUAACACCUUUAAUGCUUUGACAAAACUGUGGAGAAUGUUAUCAGGAGUCGAUUUUAAUAAACACUCCUUUGUCAGCACCCUCUAAUACCCUUGCUUGUUCCCUGAAGGAUUAUUGAUAGAGAGCAAAGGUAAAACUUGUUGAUAAACCCCCAUGAACCCCUCACCUGUUAAACCCCACAUAUGAAGUAAGGCCUUUGUCUUGCUGUAACAUUGUUGUGGAGAGGAGUGUAAAAGAGUUUUGCAAAGACAGUUGCAAAACUUACCAUUGUGGCUCAGUAUAUGAUGGGAGCUGUAGUCAAGAAUUACUGCAUGUGUCUCUACUUGUUGCCUUUUGUGAUGAUUACCGGUGCAUUUACAAGCUUGCCGAUCAAUGUCUUGUCUGGCACGUCCAUCAAAGCUAAUGGUUCUAAGCGCACAAAGCCUCCAUUGUAAACCCUGAAACACAGAUGAGUGUUGCUCUUAGUUCGCAUUAUUUAUUUAUUUUCUUUUCUCAAGCUGAACAGAAAGAGGCAAUCAAUGCUUGCUAGGUAUCUUUAAGUUUCCACAUGAAAUCCUGCACUGUUAUUGGUCAAGAGGAGCUACAGUGUUAAAGUUGUUAGAUUGUUCAUAAUUGUUUGGAGAAAUUGCAGCCUGUAUUGAGCUGGAAAAAAAUUAAUCAUGUGAAACAUUUUUCCCCAUUGAUUUUCAUUUGUUCCUUUAGAAGAAUAAAAAAGGCUUAUGUAGCCAACUGAAGAUAAUGUCAGGAUUGAACAUCUCUGUGCAAGUAACGUCCAAAAGGAACCAGCGUUUUAUUUUAAUGUGCACAUGAAUAGAGUGUCAUUUUCAGCCUCCCUUUUGAAAGAGAUAAUGGCUUUUACAUUACGUUGUACAAAGGGAUUUGUGAUUUAUCCAUUUUCUUAAAACUUCUGUCCACUGCAGAGAAAAGUAAUUUCAACUCAAACACACUAACAAAGUCUUACGUUCAAUGUUCUGCAUUAAUUCUGGACUAAAAAAGCAAGAACUCUACUAAUAAUAUAACCCAAGACUAGGCUAAAGCUUAACCUGUAAAUUAAACUGGCCUCAAAUGUAUAGGGAGUUCAGUGAAAAGAUUAUGGUCAUGGUAACAUUUUAUUUAGACCCAGGAUUUUAUUAGAUCAUAAAUCCAUACUCAUGCUAUAAAAUUUUAUGUGUUUAUAUUAUAAAUUCCCAAGUGGCACAGCUAGUAAAAGCCUUUACAAUGGCAUUCAGGUUCAACAACCAAUACUGCUUGAACACUGUGUCACUCAGCAAAGAGGCAUGUUUGUUGUUAGUUGUAAUACUUUUAAACUAAGGGUCUAUAGUUUAUACUGAACCAUUACAACAGAAGUGUUGUGAGAAUAAUAUAACUAUGGUGUGCAUCAUUGUGACAGUCACAAUUACUGAGUACCAGAAGAAAAAGCAAAGCUUGUGUAGAGUUUUAGCUACUGUCACCUGACUGCCUGAUCAAGCAGCAGUGUCCAUGCAUCUCCAAUUCUGAGGUCUAAUUGUGUUCAUUCGUAAACAGUACAUAUCCUACAGUGUCAACUAGUCACAUAAUGUUAGUUAUCCCAAGGCUCUGCACUCACUGGAACUGGUAGGCAUUGCUAGCCCAUCAACUGUACAGUAGCUAGGUACAAUAAAAUAUAGCACAGGGAGCGAAACUAUAACACAUGUUUGGUUUUAUGUAUUCUAUUCUACAUGUAUGUUGCUACUUGAUAUAUAUACUUUUUUCUCUAGCCUUAACAAAAAGUUGGCAUUUGCAAACAGAGGGCUCCAAUCACUCACUGUUGAACGUUAUCACCAAACUUAAUAUACUAAAAUAUGGAAAAACUCACACCAUCUGUUUGUCACUACUGGCUAUCAUGAGUUCUCUAGUUAAAAUACUUAACAUUAAUACAAAUUUCACAACAAGGAUAAAUCAUCUAAUGGUUACCUAUCAUUCAAUAUCUUCCUGCCAAAUUAGAGAACAACUACACACCUUACCUGUUGAGCAAGAAAAAGCUAAUACUCCAUUAACCUCAAACCUGUUUCCUUUUAAAGCAUAAUAUAAAAUGACUCUUUCAUUUUUUCACUCCCAUUUGUUUACAUUCUCUCUUUCUCCUGCUCCUUCCAGUCACCAUCUAAAUUCUUUCAUUCCUAAAGCUGUGACCUGAUGACAUGUGACAUAUCUGACCUGGCAUAUGAUGCAUGCCUACAAAUUUCCCACCAUUUUUGGCCCGACACCCCUGACUCAGAGCAGAUUGUGAAUUACUAUUAUAAGAUUGUCUCACAGCAGCUCAGAAACAUCAUAUUAUAAAGUUGUUGUUUUUUUUCACUGACUCAAUUUUUUUUUUUUCAUUCUAACUAAAAAAUCAUAUGCACUGUAGCUUUAAGAUUUGACUGAAUGAGUCUAAAACUCAUUACAGAGUUUCUGGCAGGACUGUCCAAGACUACCAAAGGGUCGAUCAUCUGAAUCCAACCCAGUCUCAGAGGUUUACAUAUGGACAUUGGUGUGCCCUACUACAGAAAAAAAAUCCCUCCUCUGGUAUACUCUACAUAUAACUAAAUGUCUGUCUGUGCAAACUAUAGAGAGCACUACUGUGGUUUUCUGGCAGCUCUCUCAUGCUGUCCUAAUGUCCUUGCAGCGUUAGCAGACAGACAGAUGAUUAAGUGUCUAUUUACUCACCUCUGCUUUACUAGAGCAAUAUUGCCACUUUGCUCAGUGCUGACAGAUUAGAUGCCGGCUGUGGCCUCGUGGCUGAGGACUCAAGGCAACUGGCUGUCUACAGGCUGUCUCAACUAAGCACUGGCUCAUUCCGUAUGAAUGAAAUGGAUAUACUGUAAAGGGAGCAUGCCUGGUCCUCUGCCAGCAUUCUGAAGAAAUGAAGAGGUCCUCUAAACAUCUGCGUAAACAUAGAAUGGUGACCUCAUGAAUCCAGGUUGAACAGCAGAGCUCUGAAUGGCACCCUGAGCCACAUGUUAAUUAGUGCUACAGAGAGUUAUGCAGAUUUCAUGAAGACACUCCUCUGGGGAUUUCAACUAAUGCUAAACUCCCAAAACUUCAGAGUGAGCUUGUGUCUUCUCUGACAGGAAGAGCAAUGGCAGCCGUCUUUAUUGGGGGAAACAAAGGCUUAGACUGAGCUCCUGUGGGAAGACUCCAGCUUGAUUUGAUUCCUCUUUUUCUGAGGGUAGCUGUAGAUUCUGUGCCUCCUAAGGAGUUGCAAGAGACAGCUGAAUAAUUUUGCCCAGAGCUUCAACAUCCAGAUUCCAAGACAGGGAAAACAGAAGAAAUGUUGGUAUGUUCACUUUUGUUUGGUAUGGGCUUAAAAUUCUUCAAGGAUUGCUGAAAAGCUGUGAAGUUUUAAUUUAGGAGAUGUGUUGGAGGCAAAUGAGUAAACAGGCCCAAGCAACAAGCAAUACAAUGCCCUUUUAAUCGUGCUAUAUGAUUUCUCAGCUUGCGGGCAAUAAUUAUCUCGAUUGGAUGUGACAGGUAUCAUUUCUCCUGUGCUUCAGAGAGUCAGAUAGAAUAGCUUUUUCUUUCAGAGCACUGCACCGUAGAAGCUCUUGUUAUAGAUUAACAACAUAUCAAUGAGUAUGUUUCAUUGUUUUAUUGUUUUAUAAAUGUAUUUAGUGAGUGAGUUGUCAUUUCAUACACAUACAUUUAAUAAUAUAUAUUUCAUGUCCUCUCAAGGCUUAGAAUGAGCUCCAUUGGGAAAUGUGUCAUAAUAUAUUUUUUCAGUGUCCUCUAAAUAAAUGGCCAAGCAUUAAUCAGGAUUUUGUUUGCAUGUCACUUUAUUAAUCUACACAAAUGACUCUUUGUAAAUUUUGUAUAUGCAUGUGGUGAUAUCUCUGUUAGGUGUAUGCUGCACACAUUUUGAGACUACAUUGCAUUAAAGUUAAAAGUUGUGUGUGGUUAUGUAUAUGCAUAUAUACAUAUAUGCACACACACACACACAACACAGUAACACAAAGUGUGUUUUUCUUUCUUUUUUUGAUGACAUUAAUCACAGGCUUGGAUAAUUAGUUAUACAUAAUAUUACUUAGCGUAUAUUUAAGCAAAGAUGUCACUAAGAACACAUAGUGGAGUCAUGCACUUGUGCAAUACCAAGUUUUACUUUUACUGGGUAUGUUUUAAUGUCUACGAUUCUGUUGUCUCAGACUUUAAUGGUGAAAAAUAUUUAUGCCAGUUUUCACAGAGAGUAAUCACUCUGAGGAUCGCAUUCUGCUGAAGUUAUAGUUGAAGUGUGAGGAAGAAGGCUAUCCUAAAAAUUUAUCACUUAGAUCAUUAGUCUAAGAUAAUUAGUAAAUAAAAAGACACAGCUGCCAAUAAAAAGAUAAAUGAGUGACAAGGGACUGAGAACGUUGUCAGGGUUGUGGAGAGAAAAGGAUCAUAAAUGUCAAACAAAACAUGCAAUUCUCUGGCCAGGAACAUUGUAAAAUAAAACUUGCUGAGCAACUUGCUGUGCAUUAUCUAGCAGUAAUAGAAUAUUCUGCCAUGUGAGAAACAUUCAUGAGAGUAGAAAGAUUGCAGGGAAUAUAUUACAGAUAUAAAAUCUCAAAAUACCUCAAAAUACCUUGGAAUUAGGUUUCUGUGAAAUGUGAAAAAAAUGGUUAUGAGAAGUGGGUAGCUGCCUGAAUAACUACUGAAAAUAAUCAAGUAAGUUACUGUAGUUUCUAUAAUACAUAGAAAUGUGUUUUUCUAAUGAAUUUACAAUAGGUCACAUGUCAUAAAGCUCCAGAGCUGCCAUAACCGACAAUCAGCUGCUGAAAAUUUAAGAAGCAGAGUAAAAGCUUGCAGUGUACAAUGUGUAAAAAAAAAAAAAUGAAGCUACAACAUAUCUACACUUUAUUCGAGCAUAUCUGCCAAUCCUCCUUCAUGUCACGAAACUACCAUUAAUUAUUAAUUGGACUGCUUGUACAGUGAAACUUGAGGAAAUGUGUAUGGUUCUGCCUGUGUUUCCUGUCUCAUUAAACAUUAACGAAUAUGUCUGAGUGCCAAGAAUUCAGUUCAUGCCUAGAAAGUUAAGUAAACAUAUGCCUGCACUGGAAAAGGACAAAACAAAGUUAGGAUUGGGUAAAAUUGACUUUGCAUACUAUAAAGGAACGGAACUGUGGAUUAAGAUAAGAUACUUGCUAAGCACCUUUAUGCCCAAGAUGGGUUUUUGCUUUCUGCGUCUGAACCUUUGCCACCUCUCUGCACCAUGCCAAUCCUCCUAGAUUCCCUUUUGAGCAGCUAUGCUGGCAGCCAGCAUCUGCCUCUCUUCUGGAUUGAGCAUCCCUCCACCUUGCUCAUAUGGCUGCCCA